rnacentral:tRNA from 1 species
GUCUUUAUCGUCUAGUGGUUUAGGACAUUACUCUUUCACGGUAAGAACACGGGUUCAAAUCCCGUUAAAGAUA